GGUAACAUGAACAGCAGAGGCAACUUGCUGCCUUUGACCCUGUUCCGCGAUCAAGCUUGAAGCAACUUCAUGCUGGCCUUCAGCCCAAGGUGGCUUUUGGGGGCAAAGGUAACUCCAGGCAACAGGGAGUGGGUGGGGGGGAGGCUGGCCGGGCAACAGGAGACUCAUGCUCUCAGUAAAGGAGGAUGGAACAGGGGAGCAGGGCGAUUGGCCACACAUCUCCUUGUACGCUUCAUUCAGCUCUGCACCCCAAGUCAGAACCCCACUUUCUGGUUUCUUUGAAAGUAUUUAGUGCACAAAUAAGCAGAUCGGAGAUAAGGAAUGUCCAGUCAUUGUUCAAGGAUUUUCUGGAAUUUGAAGCAUUGUGACUUUUGUUGUUUAGAAAGGCUUUGGUUGCCUGUUUAUCAUCCAGCGCAGGCUCAUGAAUAACUUCCUGGGGGCCUGGCCCACAUUCUUGGUCCUGUUGGCGUCUCUUGCCCAGCAAGGCUCACUCGGGGCGUCUUCCCAACAUCCUGUCUGAGAACGACCUUCUUUUCUCCACUUACUAAGCUCCGAGUCCUUGUUGAAAUGACCUCCCGCGCAGGAAGGCCCACUGUGGCGCCUGGCAGGAGAAAACAGUUCUGGUUUCUAGGAAGUUACACACACACACACACACACACACACACGCAAAGUCUCGUUCAGAAAAGGCAAAAUGUUUCUGUUCCUCCACAGGGUUGAUACGGAAAACUAGCAGACAUUCCAGCAACGUCCAGAACAGAAGGUAAAGACAGGUGCAGGGAACACAGCUGGAAGUCAGAGAACACAACAAGCUUCGUGUCCACAGGCACAGCUGCCUUAGUGACCCCGCCAUGCGGAUGUGGGCGCUUAAACAAAGCCAAGGGCAUACGAAUGUGUCUCGUGGGUAUGCUCAGGCUUGAAAACUACUCAGUGGAAAGCCGGCAAAGUGUAAGCAUUUCAGAGAAAGAUAACCACGGAACUUAUCUUAGCAUCCAGGUAGCAUUUUGCUGUUGUCCAAUAUGUUCUAAAGCUGCCGGGCUUUUUUCACUUUUCCAAGUGGGACCAGUGAGGGUGAGGGGAGCCCCAAAGAGAGAGACGGGUUCUUUAAAUUCAUCCUAGGUCUUAAAUGAGACCUGCUAGAACAUGACAAAAACUAUUAGGACUCUGAUGACCAAAACGUUGUGCCUUGCCCUUGGUCAACUGUUGGGUCAUCCGUUGGUUGUGAUGUAGAACUAUGAUGCCCACUUCAGGUGUUCAGUGUGCCUCAUCCACUCUCCGGGCUGGUGAUGAGUGCUGGUGUCAUGGGCAGGUGACCGGUGCCGGGGUCCAGGUUCUGCUCUCAGACGGGACCCACACCUUCUGUUUUUACACUCUGCUGUCACCGUCUUGAAAUUCUUUUUUUUUUUUUCAUUCUUUAAUUUUGUCAUUUCUUUUUUAUUUGAGAGAGAAAGAGAGAUAGCAUGCAAGUUGGGGCAAGGGGCACAAGGAGAGAGAAGGGAGAGAGAGAGAGAGAGAGAGAGAGAAUCGUAAGCAGGCUCUACGCUCAGCACAGACUCUAACAUAGGGCUCAAUCCCAGGACCCUGGGAUCAUGACCUGAGCUGAAGUCAAGAGUUGGACGUCCAACCGACUGGGCCACCCAGAUGCCCCACCAUCUUGAAAUUCUUAAUAAUGUUGUCUUUGAACUUGCGUUUUGUAAAUGAAGUCCAAUCGGAUGGCAGAGGAUUCAUGUGGGCUGAGUAGUUACAUGCAAUAUGGAUGCCCAUUGGUCCUUGUUCUUACUGCCUAUUUAUUUGUCCCAUUAGAGAUUCCCCCAUGAUCAUGGAAUUUCACAGGAUUCGUGAUGUGCCAGAGCCCAGGGAAGACUUGAAACAAAUAGGAGGUAAGCAUGCCUAUGACUAAGUUGGGAGCAGGAAAGGAGGAGGGGCACCGACUGUUCCAAGUGGACACAGAACUUAUUCAAUGCAGGAAGAAGGCAGUGGUUUUCUAAGAAACACAAAUGAGCAGAGAACCAUGUCAUGUCCUUUCUUACUGUUGUUUCUUCCCCGUAUGAGCCAACACUUGGGCUGACGAUGAAGGCAGAGAAGGAAUUGGAAAGACAGAGCAAAUGAUACUUGUUUUUCUUUUCAGUUCUUUCUUACCAGUAAGCCAGAGGUCUGGACUGUUGGGAAAAUGUGUGUAUGUCAUGAAAAGAAAUAGAGACAGUUGAGUUAGUUUUUUGUAGCAUUUCCACUGUUUGGGGAAGAACAAAAUGAACUACAAAUUAUGAAUUAUCUAAUUCUGGUGAUCCUGCAUAUGAGUUAUACACCCUUACAUUUGCAUUUAAAACUGGCAUUGCACACAUAAAGAAGAAUGGUGAAAUUCAGGCUAAAAAUGAAAAGUUUUCAUUUUUCUUUAUUACGGUGACAUAAACAAGUAAUAAAAACACCAUGGCAAGUUGAGAGAUUGCAGAAGAAAAGAAAAAGCUCUAUAUUAUAGUACCUUAAACAACAUUUUCCCCCCUUGCUUUUAAACAGUUUUCAUUUUGGGGCAUCUGAGUAGCUCAGUCCGUGAAGCCAUGGUUCAUGAGAUCAAGCCCCAUGUUGGGCUCUGCACUGACAGCUUGGAGCCUGCUUGGGAUUCUCUCUCUCUCUCUCUCUCUCUCUCUCUCUCUAUUUCUUUUUCUCCCCCUCCCCCAAUGUGCAUUCUCUCUCUCUCUCUCUCUCUUAAAAUAAAUAAAUAAACAUUUUUUUUUUUCAUUUUGCUCUGGGCCCCACCAAGUAGGUAGCUGAUGAUAAAUAUAAAAGUUUGUAGAAACACCUAACGUGGUUGUUAGAUUCAACCAUGAUCAUAGUGUUCACAGCACGUUUAGUUAGGAUUUCAUUUUAGGGAUUGUCUUUGUUUAGAUUCCCCCAGAAGGACACCCUGAGAUAAAGAUUUGAGUGGAAGUGAUGUAUUUGGAAGAUGAUCCCUGAAAACACCAAUAGGGAAGUGUAGGAGGGUGGAAAGAGGGAGAGAGAGAGAGAGAGAGAGAGAGAGAGAGAGAGAGAGAGAGAAUGGAGGCAAUUAACCGUAUGCUAUCAAACUAGUUUCCUUUGUGGGGAACUGGAAUUCGAUCCUGCUGGGAACCCCUGGAGAAAGUGGUAUCCCACAGUUACCCCAGAUGAAGACCAAGGGAGCUAGGGUAUUUGUCUUUCAACUUUCCACCUGUCCUUAGAGGAAGGCAAUUCUUGGGACCAUUAAUUAUAUAUAAUUUCUGGCUUGUUCUGCUCAUGGCUACCAUCACAGAGUAUUGCAGGUAUGGGAAGGGUACCAACAGCAUCUACGCCAUUCGUCAAGCAAUAAAAGAUCCUAUACAGAUCAGAGAUACCUGUUAAAAUGACUAGUGAGACCGGUGGAGAAAAAAAGACAAAAAUAAAACAAUGAUGAAUCUUUGCUCUGCCUGGAUGAAGCUUCAGAAAAACACAAUCAUAAGAGUCCUUAUAGAGAGGGGUCCUAGAUGAUGGCAUCAUAUGUGUUUCUGUGAAGAAUGAGAUGAAACUUUCAAGACAGUAGAGAAAUACAGUGGAUCUUAAUGGAGGUUGCGAGUUCAUGUGUAGCUAGCACAGAUUGGCUAAGGAGAGCCCGCAGUCCAUCAGGAGGUCUGGAAAGAGAAUCUUACCUUUGUGCCACUCACCAAAGGCCAGCAUCGGACCUUAUGAGGAAUUUAGUCUUUGAUGACUUUGGCCUGGCUUGUGGUUUCCCAAUGCCCCAGUUACCCAGGGGUCUGAGAUAUACUGCCCAGCCCCCCAAAAAUCCCACUGGGGCAUAAAUGACUGAUACCGGCCCAAUGUACGCCCAGCUCCAAGCUGACUUACUUUUGACCUUCCCCCCACCCCCCUCAGAACUUAAUUAUGUUUGAUUUCGUGGUGUUUUGAAACCUUCAUUGUAUUUUAAUGGAUUUCUCUUAAUUUUAUUUCUUCACUUACAUGAGAAGCUCAUUCCUGGGCAAGUUCUGUGUCCUCUUUUCUUACUCUCAUGGUGUUCAGCCUCGCUGGACACGGAAUAGGGGAGCAAUGAUUUCUUGCUGAUUAACCAACUCUCCCGGGGCCACAGAGCAUCACUGGAGGCAGCUGCUGACAGGGGGGGACGGUCCUGGUGGGUCCCCCACCAGCUUCUGAACUACAGGCCCAAACUAGGUCAGGACACACACUAUCUGAUGCUAUGUGGGGUACCUGGGCUUCUGAGAUGUAUCCUGGAGCUGGGGGAAUGCGGGAGGCGUAGGGCCGCUCCCACGAGGGGCUGAGAUGCCUGCAGUGAUGGGAGUUGAGGGGCUUGGCGUGGGCUGUCCAGGCAUCACGGGACCUGGUACCUGACCUGGCCGGGAAGGAUGAGUGGUGGCAUCUGGUGAUGCAUCAGAGGGUAGGGAGGGGGCUGCUGAUGGGACAUCAUGCCAGGGUGCCCUGCUCUUCCAAAUGGUGCCGGGCCAGGUCCUGCUGAGUGCCGGUGCCCCUGUUGAGGGUUCUGUCCCUUGGCUGCCGAGCUCACGACUCGGGGUAUGCCUGCCAUGCCAAGUGCAAGUUGUGGCACGCAGUAAACACCUGCUCCUCUGUCCUUCCGAAGCCUCUUUCUCUGUCCAUGCGUUUCCUGCUCCUCAAAAUGUUGAAGCUGGACCCCCACUUUCUUCAUUUGUGUCUCAAGCAGGAGAGCGACCGGGGACUUGACCUUCCUCUCCUCCGCGGCAGCCAGGUGUUUGGUUUGUUUGCAGCAGAGGCAGGAGCAGCCGUGUGGUUGUGGCUCAGAAACGCCGCGUUCUGCGGUCUUCUUCCCGAGAUCGCAUUCUAGUGAGUUCCUGGUGCUCUUCGCUCGCCUUUCUUCCGAUUCAGUAUCCUCCCUGACUUCACUUUCUUGCUCUGUCCCACUGAUUUUUUUUCUUUUUUUCAUUUUCUCCAUCUUGUGUCUUCUCGUCUUCAUCUGCUUCAUUUUCUGUCUUUGUUUUCUGCCUUUUCAGGCAUCAGUGUCUGUUUCCAUUUUUUUUGUUGUUGUUUUUUCCCUCUCCAGCUUCUCUGGCUCAGUGUGUCCCACGUCAACCAUACAGCUGCCUUCCUGGCCUGGGGCACUAAUGGGGGGAUUUGUGGAAUGCAGUGGCAAUUGAGGAACUUAGCUGGGGGCAGGAAAUCGCUUAUACAGAGAGUCAACAGGAAAUACGCGUGGAUGGCCAGGUACACAGCAAAUCCUCAUGCUUUGCUUUUGGUGAAUGCACAUGAGCACUUGUGAAAUGUAAUGUUGGUAAAAAGAUAGCGGUUGAGCCAAUGCCGUUGAGAGGAGGAGUCCAUUUUUUCUGAAUCAAUUUGGUUUUAAAAGUUCACAUUAAGUGAACAAAGUGUGAGAGUACAUGUGCAUUCACUUGCCUGAGCUUCAUUUGACAUUUUUAAAAGACCAGACCACUUUUUACUUUUUAAAAAAUAUUUAUUUAUUUUGAGACACGGAGAGAGAGAGAGAGACAAAGGGUGAGUGGGGAGGAGCAGAGAAAGAGGGAGACCCAGAAUCCGAAGCAGGCUCCAGGCUCUGAGCUGUCAGCACAGCGCCCGAGGUAGGACUCAAACUCAUGAAUAACAAGAUCAUGACCUGAGCUGAAGUCGGACACUUGACCAACUGAGUCACCCAGGUGCCCCCACGUCUUACUUCUUUAUUCACUUUUCACCGUUGCAUUCUGCUGGGCCUGGUGUUUGAUUUUUACCAUAUAUACAAGCUGACAAAUUAGUUUGUUAGUGUCUCCUGGAUGCCGGCAGAAGCUAUGAGACUCUUGGCUCAGAGAAAAAGGACCCUAUCAUCCAUGUUGUCACAAACAACAUAGGCCACCUCUCGCCAAGGAAACGCAACGUGGCCCAGAUGGAUGCCACUCAGGGGGUUUAUAUGUUAAGCGACACAGAACGUAGGAGAUCCACUACAAACAGUAAGAUACCUCGUCCCUUGGUCAGGAAGAGGUGUUGCCUCAUUUCUCAAGUGACCAGCUUCAAAAACAGUCCUGAAAAAUUGCCUGGGUAAAGAGUGGCAGGCCUUGCAAGGGUGGCACACCAAGUAAGAGGUGGAGGAGAUAUUAAAACUCCCAUUCGAAAUGCAUUCCUUAAAUUUAAGAAGAUAGAAGAAGUUAUGAACGUAUGGAAGGAAAAAUGCAACAUUUAGUUUAAAAUAAAAAAGACGAGGGGCCCCUGGGCGGCUCAAUCGGUUAAGCACCUGACUUCAGCUCAGGUCAUGAUCUCGCGGUUCGUGAGUUCGAGCCCCGCGUCGGGUUCUGUGCUGACAGCUCGGAGCCUCGAACCUGCUUCAGAGUCUGUGUCUCCCUCUCUCUCUGUUCCUCCCCGACUGGCACUCUGUCUCUCUCUCCCUCAAGAAUAAAUAAACAUUAAAAAAUAUUUUUAAAAAUGUGAGUCACCUAGUUAGGUAUGAACAUUCCAUGUCUGAGAUACGAUUACACUGGAUGGCUUUAAUAGCAGAGUAGACACAGUGAAGGAAAAUGUUAGUGAACCUAGGGACUCAGCAGUAGAUAACUUCAAAAUGGAACACGCGAGAGCAGGGACACCUGGGUGGCCCAGUUGGUUAAGCAUCUGACUGUUGAUUUCCGCUCAGGUUAUGAUCUCACGGUUCGUGAGAUCAAACCCCCGCAUCAGGCUCUGUGCUGAGACAAUAAAGUAUGCUUGAGAUUCCGUCUCUCCUUCUCUCUCUCUCUUUGCCCCUCCCAGCUCACAUACUCACUCUCUCUCUACAAAUAAGUAAAUAAACUUAAAAAGAAAAGAAACAUAUGGAACACACAGAGGGAAAAAAAAGAUGAACAAACAUCAACAGAAAAUCAGUGGGUCCUGGGACAACCACUAGUGGCUUCGUGCAUGUGGAAUUGAAGUUGAAAGAGGGGAUAAAAAGUGACUGAAAAUUUCAUACAAAUUGUAGAAAACUGUCAACUCACAGGGCCAAGAAACUCAACAGAAAUCAAGCAGAAAAAAAUGGAAAAAAAAAGACUCUAAGGCACAUCAUAAUCAAAUUCCACUCGCGGUGGGGAUGAAGUCCAUGAAAAAUUUUAGUAUAUGUGCUGCUGAAGCGAGCACAGUCCAUGAAAAUUUUGAAAAUUUAGAUUAGAUUAAAAAAAUCUUGGUAAAGGGAAAAAGCUUAGGAUUAACCAAAGGAAAAACAUACACACUAUAUACAGAAGAACAAAGGUAAGAAUCUUAGAAGACUUCCCUUUGGAAACAGUGCAAGUUAGAAGACAAUGGAGCCUCACGUUGAAGUACUGAAGGAACAAACUAGCAAAGAAACAAGUCACUGUUGACCUGGAAUUCUCUACCAGCAAAAAUAACCUUCAAAAACAAAGGUAAUAUAGACACUGUGUCGGACGUAUAAAGUUGAAAGAGUUCAUCACUGGUAGACCCGCGCCAUAGGACAUGGUCAAGGAACUCCUGCAGGCAGAAGGCAAAAAACACCAGAUAAAAAGCUGGGUCUAUGCAAGGGAACGAAGGACGUCAGGACCGAUGUCUGUCCACUUCACCCAUGACAUCAGCUCCUUCCAAUAGCUCCCCUCCAGUUUUCAGUCUCCAUGCGGAACAGAAAUGCCUUGGAAAGCCCUUAGUUCUCAGCACUGUGAUGUGAACAAGAAACAUGGUUUAUCUGUGCUACAGGUCUGAAAGAAGAAAGAUAGGAGAGAAGGUCGUGGAACUUGGAGGGGAGCGCGGCUGAGGAAGAGAGACCCCAAAGGAGAAUAGCCCUUCUUUGUAGCCAGGGACAGAGGAUUAAAGUUCCUGUGUCUUUGCUUCUGGGAGAUGCUGGUAAUCUUUUCCCUUAUGGAGAUUAUAAAUAAUAGAAGGAGGUGGUGGUGAAUCAGAAGAAUUUAGCAAUAUACAGUUUAGAGUCGACUUAAAAUUUUGCAUUGGUAUAUUUGGGAGUAGCAGGAGAAGUAGUUGGAGUUUGGAGGUAUUGGGAAAUAGAGACAGGAAAUUAAACUCCAGCCCCUGUAGUCAAAAUUUGCAUAGACUUUACCCCCACUGCCGUUCUCAACCCAGCUUUACCUCACUGAGAGUAAACGUACGCAAAUUUCUCUCUGUGAAUAACUGCUUUAGGUGCUAUUGAACACCCAAAGAUGCAAGGCAGAGGAUUCUGCCCUCAAGGAUGUAUUUACAGAGAUGGAACAUUCCCCUCCCAUCUCUCUCCCUUGCAUCCCACUUGUUUCCUUUCUGUUUUUAUCUGUCUCACUCCAUACCCACAGACGGAAUAAAUUCCAGUCUGGAGCCACAAAUGAUGGAUGUUAAAGAAGUGAUGCAGGCCAUUGUUUCAGAAGCAGGGGUGGGGGGACGGUUCAGGGAACAUUUUAUGGAUGAGAGAGGUUUUACGCUGGAAAGAAACGGGAAUGUGAUGAAUGGAGCCAGAGCAUAGGUGCCUUUCUGUCUGGGAAGAUAAGGUGUUGAAUGGUAGAUGUGUGGGGUUUGAAGAGUGGAUGGCUACUUACUUUAAGUAGGCUGUUCAUUCCCCAAAUAGGUCUGAUUCAGAAGGGAAGAAAGGCCAUAGAUACACAUCUGUCUGUAAGUUUCCUAUGACAUUGAGGUGUCUCAGAAGGGAGUGUGCCUGGGAUCUCCAAGAAGAAGUCAGGAGAGAAGGGCGGAGAGGUCAGUGAACACAUCUCAGAGGUAAGAGAGGAGCCAGGAGGGAGAUGCUGUGGAAUCAGAAGGUCAAGUGUGUCGAAGCCUGGAUGGUGUGUGCCAUAUCCCACGAUGUGGAACAGAGCCUGAGGGCAAGCCACCAGACUGGGUGGCUGAAAGGGGGACUGAGAGCGGGCAGCUCCAGAAAAAAGCCAGAUCUCGGAGGGCUGGGGAGGAGGUGGGCGAGGCAGGGGCAGAGGCAGGGCCACACGGGCCCAGAUGGAGACUUUGGCCAAAUUCAAGAAAGUACUCGCCUGGGAAGACCAAGUAGAAAAGUGUGCUUUUUUUUUUGCAUCAAGAAAAAGACAUCCCAUUCUCUGGAAGAUGCAGUCCCGUGCCCCUUGCCUUGGCAAGUGGAUUCAGGACUGGAUUCAGCCAUCGUUCAUCUCUGACCCAAGUGUCCCUGAGCAGAGGGUAACCUAUGGACCGAGUACGUGGUGAUUCUGUGUAGGGACACACAGCACAAAGGGCUCAUUGAAGGCGGCGGAUGGUACAGGGAAUGGCGAAAUAGUAAAAUCAUUCAAGGGGCAGAAGAGGUCCCAGAAAAGGGUUGGAAAAGAAAUCUGUGCAUGUAUCUAGGCACAAAACUAUGUCUCCUGCCCUUCCCCUGCCCCCCCCCCCCGCCGCCUUUGUCGGUCAUUUCUACGCCCGCGGAUUUCAGAAUUGUUUAGGAGGGACACCCAUGUGUGAUGCCAAUCACGCUGCUAUGGGCUGCACUGUGCCCAGCCAAAAUUGAUACAUACCUCAGAAUGUGAUUAUUUGGAGUUACAGACUUGAAAGAGGGAAUUAAGUUAAAACGAGGCCAUUAGGAUGGGCCCCCAUCCAAUAGGAAUGGCGCCCUUAAAGAAGAAGAGAUUAGGACACAGACAACUCAGACUGGACACAGUGAAUGUGACAACACAGCAAGGCGGCCCCCUCUGCAAGCCGAGGAGAGGGGUCUCAAGCUUACUGCCACCUUGAUGGUGGACCCCGCGCCCCCUAAACUGUGAGGGAAGAAAUUUCCGUUGUUCACGCCUCCCCGGUCUGUGGUACUUUGUGCCGGCAGCCCUAGCAAACGAAGACACACGGUCGGAAAAACAUUUCGUGACACAACUACGACACACACCUAGUCCCUUGCUAGGGUUUCGGAAAGGGCACAGUGAGCCUCACGAUAGCGUGUGCGUUAGCGAGAUGCCACCAGGGUUACCUGUGACUACACGUGCACAGCGCUCGGCGCAUGGCAAGUGCUCCACAGGUUAACUCUUCCUCUUGUUUUCCCGCAGGCAAGAACAGCUCCUUGAGGACCAACAUCACCAUCUCUUCUGCUUUGGAAAUGAACCAGAAGUAUUUAUCCCGUGGCCCUGGUGCGUCAACCUUUCACUUUACGGAACCGAACCGUGGGACGUUGAAGUCCAGUUAGGGGGAAACCAGACACACAAGGGAAAUGAUGAGGGAGGAAGGCGGGUCUGGACCUUGAAUGCUUGCUGUGCGCCAGGCACUAUGUCCUGCAUUUCGUGUUACGUCUUCCUCAUUUUAAUCCUCCGCAGAGUUACGAGCGGGAAGUCUUUGCCUCUUUUUGGUAAAGAUGUGAAUAUUGAUUAGCAAGAAUCGACCCAGGUGCCUGGGCAUCAAACCCACGUAGGCGGCGACUGUUAGAAUAACCCUGCCACCCCCCCUCCCCACCUUGUGACUUUCCUGAUAACCUUGGGAAGCAAGGGCGGACCUACCGUUAACACUGUUUUAUGUAUUAGGAAAAUACGACCCAGGAAAUACUGGAUCAUUCACGUACACACUCGAUGUCAGACAGAAAGUCAGUUCUUAAACCCAGUGAGGUGUUUUGGCUGUUGAUCUGAUAAUCAGACAUUCAGAUGCCGUUUAGAUAUUCAUAUUCUCAGGAAGUGACUCUCAGGAUGGUGUCUCUGCACUGCGGGUGGCUUUGACUUUGAAGCGGGGUUUUGGAAUGCUACGUUUCAUGUGUGAGAUGGGGGCCCUUUGGUCACAAUGUGUCAGCCAUCGUCUGACAGUAGUGGACCCAGCAUGGGUUUGGGGGUCAGAAGAUAGAAUCCUGGCCCUGGCUCUGCCACAGACUGGCUGGAUGACCUUGGGGACUUGAUUCUUCCUGGUCCUAUGUUUCUCCUCCGCAAAUAGAAGACACUGCGCUUCAUGAUUUCUGAGAUUUGUUAAAAAAUCUGAUGCUGUGCAUCAGAAUCGCUGGAUGGCCCCAAGGGACUGGUAAGAAGCCCAGAGGCAUAUGGAGGUGGAGAUUUGUCCCCUGUCAUCUCAGCAAGAAGGGAAUCCCCCACCAUGGGCAAUGCCUCUUACGGCAUGGCGCAGACAUGAUGAGGCAGCCAAGUCCUCAUUAAUGUCAUGAUUACAGUGACAAGUCUGCUGGGGGCCUGAAGGCACCCGAUUUGCCCUCCGAGUACUUGCAAGUAGAAAUCCUUCAUGCGCUCUCUGGCCACAGAACAGAGAGUCCUAGAACAAAGCCUGUUUUGAUCUUUUGUCUUGGCGCGGGGUGAGACCGUAUCUCCAGCGUAAACUACGCUGCUUGUAUUGUUUGCAUGCCCUCAGUAAAAAAGGAAAACACAACCAAGUGGUUUGGUUAGUUUUGGCAUGCACAACUCAGGGUGGGAAAUUCCCUCCGAUUCUGGCUGAUCACCCAGUAUUUAAUUUUUAAAAUAAGUGUGUCAGUUUCAAAAUACCAGAAGUUCUUGCUGAAGGGUAUUCACAAAGAAUGGGACAUCCUGGUGUUUGGAAAAAACAUUCCAGUUCGUUGGCAUCACAGCACUUACUGUAAUGUCAGCGAUAAGAGCAGUGACCACACGGCGGGGUAGGUCCCUAGGGACUCCCCGGGGGGGAAGCCUCUCCAUUUAUGGUGAAGACGUGGAGAGCUGAUGUGUGAACGUGGACAGCUUGUGCCUGGGGUAGCACCUCCGAGGUGUCCCGGGGUUGAGAUCAGCGAGCCCCAAGGAACUGCCUUCAGCCUCAGGGGCCAGGCGUCCUUGCCCACCAGUUAUCCCAUCUAGUUUUGAAGUCCACUCUCUGCUCUUGGGCAGACCUUGGGCUUAGCUUUGGGAAGCUUCUGACUUGCUGGUUUGAGGUGCACCAACUUGGGGGGCCUCUAGGUUCUGCUUCCUAAGUUAGAGCCUAUGACUCGGUACCUUGCCUGACAAUGGUCUGGUCCCCACUUGGGGUCACAGACAUCAUGCAUCGGCAUCCACGGGACACUGGCUAAAAAUUCAGCAUUCAGCCCCACCCUGGACGUAGCGAAUCAGACCCUGUAUCUUCACAGGAACCCUGGGGUGAUUCAUUUGCACGUUUCAGUUUUCCAAGCCCCGUGCUGGAAUACCUUCAAUAGAGGCGUACCAUCCUGUACACCCAUGAGACAGAUGACCCAUCCGCUUAGUUUGGUUGUAAGAAGACUUAAUUCAGGAAGCUUGAUGGGUACAAUCAGAACUUCGCUUAGAUAUAGAUAGAGAGAGAGAGAGAGCUAGAGAGAGAGAGAGAGCGAUGAUGGAGAUAGAGAUAGAGAGGUAGAGAUAGAGAUCUCCUAUGUAUAUGCACACACAUACAUAAAAAAGUCAUCCACGAUCGUUUUUCCAUAUGCUCUCUGAAAUAGCACAAUUAAUACCAGACAGAGUGUGCUAAAAGUCUUUCUGGUAGCAGCUCUGAAAAGUAUUCUGCCGAGGGCAAGACAGCAAGGAACCUUCUGCACAAUCAGACGCCGUAAACCAAAUGGGAGUCCAGGUGGCCAGCAACCUCUGCUUUCCUCUCUGCUUUCUUCAGGUUUCUCUGCCAACUCGAGGGCACACGUAGGGGCACGUUCAAAUGACCCAGGUCCUUCUGGAGUUCCCAAAUGUGGCUCGUGCGCAGUGGGCGGGGCCGGCUGAGACCCAGAGGCCACGGGAAUUGCUGCAGGAGGAGGUGCUGAGGGGACGGGGUUGUUUCUGAGGUUGCUGUAGAGCAGCCUCAGCAUGAUCGAAGCUGGACGUUUCAUUCCUUCUUGGAAGACGAGGUCAUAAUUCAGUUGCAGUCAUCAUUUUCCAGUUCCUCUCUAAUAUUUAUGUGAGAACUCCUUUACUUGGCUUCCUUGAUGCCCUUAAAUGUCAUCACCCUGGGGCACCUGGGUGGCUCAGUCGGUGGAGCGUCCACCCUCGGCUCAGGUCACGAUCUCGUGGUUCGUGGGUUCAAGCCACGCGUCAGGCUCUGUGCUGACAGCUCGGAGUCUGGAGCCCGCUUCGGAUUCUGUGUCUCCCUCUCUCGGCCCCUCCCCCACUCAUGCUCUGUCUCUCUCUGUCUCAGAAAUAAAUACGCAUUAAAAAAAAAUUUAAAUGUCAUCACUCUGAAACUUUCUAAAAGUAAAAUACACACACACACACACACACAUACACGUAUACAUACACACAACACCUGAGUUCAACAAUGCCGAUGGCUCACAACUUUUUUUACACACUAAACACCUACCUGCUUGCCUUCUUCUUUUGAUAUUCCCUGAUUUAAAUUGUGGUCCUGCAAGGUCUGGGGUCCCCUCGGUGACCUGUACUUGCCUGCAUUGAAGAGAUCUCAUCUGAUGAAGUGACAUAGUCGUAAGCCAAGGAGACUGUACCCUUUCCUCUCGCCUGUGGGGUUUGGAGAGUGAGAAUUGCCUCCCCUCCCCCGCUUUGUGGGACCCACGCUUCAUUGUUUGUCUGUGUACAGAAUUCUGAUGCUGCUGUCAUGAAUUGCCACCGAUGUAGUGGCUUACAACAAUGUGUUAUCUCCUGAUUCUCAAGGUCCAAAGCCUAAAAUCUGUCUCACCAGGCUGAAGUCAAAGUAUCACAGGGAUGGCUCCUCCUGGAGGUGCUAGAGGAGAACCACUCCCGGCCUCUUUCCACUUCUAGAGGCUUCCAGCAUUCCUGGGCUCACAGCUGCACCCUCUGACCUCUGCUUCAUCAUCACGUCUCUCAAGAUACAGACCGUCCGGUCUCCCUCUCAGGAAGACCGUGGUGAUUACACUGGGCCUCACCAGAUAAUUGAAGAUAAUCUACGAAACUAAAGAUCCUUAACUGAAUCAUAUCUGCAAAGUCCCUUUAGCCAUAUAAGACAACCUAGGCUUCGGUUCUGGGGAUUAGGAUGGGGCGUCUUUAAGGGGUCAUUCAUUAUUCCGUCUACUACAGCCUUAAAAGCAGAACUACUGUAAUUGCGACCCUUCAACAUCUUCGACCAGCGAAGGUGGAUGCUUACUUAUCACCCAUGGCUUGAGCUGCUGGGAAUCACACUACAUGACGAUUCCCAGACACCUCGGACGGGGAGGUAGAACCACACUUUUGAUAGACUUUAGAGAUGUGUUUUUACUGGAAUGGAGUCAAUUCGGGAAAAUGAGAAGGUAUAUAUAUGAAAACAAAAAGAAUGUGGAGGCUUAAGAGAAUUUAAUUCUCAUGAUCCCAUCUACUAUUUACUGAACGUUUACUAUGAUCCAGGCACAGUGCUAGCUAGGUGCUCGGCAAACAUUAUUUCAUUUACUCUGCACAAAUGGCUAGGAAAGCAGGCCUUGGUGUUUGUGUUUUAAAGGUGAGACAACUGAGUUGUACCAGUAUUAUGGGCUAUUUGUACAGUUUUCAUCCUAGGCAGGUGCCCAGCGACCACUACCUGUCAGGAGAGACGAUGUUUUUCUGAAUGCGGUUUUUAAUGACUGGAGUUACCUUCCCUAAUGAAAGUGUAUUUAUAGACUUCCAAGAAAUCCUGCUGUUGGUAAACUCGGCCUAACCCUAGAGCAUCAGCAGAAUGAGUCCAGCCAUCCUGAGAGAGAACAGGGCUUAUUUUGCCUGUUGAUGUAUUACUCAUUACUUUGCUUUCCCGACUCAGUUGGCCAACAGCCUACUGGGUCUGCUUGACUUUGAUCAGAACAGAAACCAUAGAGUGUCCCACUGGUUAGAAUUCAAGAGCCUGUUUUAGAAUACAUUCAUAUUUGAUGAACAUUUCUUGAAUGCCUAUCAUGGCCAGUGGGUUCAGCUGGGUUCCUGGAACAUAGCUCAGUAAGAGUUGGAAAUACACCUCCUACAUCAGCGUAGAGGGCAACUCGCUUCAAGUGAUAAGACAACUUCAUGGUCUGGCUCCUUCCAUUUUUCUCUGACCUGCAAGUGAAGAGCCAAAUGACUGGCCCCCAACCUGGUUUUAGUAUGUUCACCUCUUUUUCUUUUUUUUUUUCUUUUUUUUUUUCAACGUUUAUUUAUUUUUGGGACAGAGAGAGACAGAGCAUGAACGGGGGAGGGGCAGAGAGAGAGGGAGACACAGAAUCGGAAACAGGCUCCAGGCUCCGAGCCAUCAGCCCAGAGCCCGACGCGGGGCUCGAACUCACGGACCGCGAGAUCGUGACCUGGCUGAAGUCGGACGCUUAACCGACUGCGCCACCCAGGCGCCCCAGUAUGUUCACCUCUUAUUCUCCAGCAUAUGGAAGUUCGGUUUCAAAAUAUGUGUGGCUUUAUUGUCAGCCUAUACCCACCUGUCGCAGACUUUUGUGUGUCCCGAGGAAAGAAUAAAACACAAAAGUGUCAUAAAGAAAUUUAAACUUUUACUUCGGCCAAUCUUGACAUUUGUUGGCUUAGACCCAACUGGUGGUGGGUGAACUGGAGCCAGUGUUAUCUGGCUCUGGAGAGUCAAGCGUAUGUAUGUCUUUUCAGGUCCCUGUUCCAGGCUUUAGUAGUAUCGGGACCAUUCCUUGAAACUGGCCUUGGUAGUGCUGUGUACAUGGUGAAAAUCUGCAAACACUACAGAUCAGGACUUUCUCUUCUUCUUCUUUUUUUUCGGAAGAGACAGUUUGUCAGCAUAACACUGUCACCAACAUACACAGGGUGUGUGUCGAUCACAGUCAGUUAGGGUAAGUAAUCAAUUAAUUAGAUAAAGGAAUAUUCAUGUUUGUUAGCACUGAUAGGUUAAUGGUGCUGAAGAGAGCAGUAUAUUAAAUUCAUAGACCUGAUGCUAGCCAUCAGCCAGAAUACGUUUCCAUUUGCCAGACGAGAAAAUGGAAUUAAUCCUGAGCAAGAGGAGCUCUGUAUCCUUCUUGAAGCAUGAGCCACGCUGGUUCCUCUUGGAGGUUAUCUUUCUGUUUUCUUCCUCAGAGUUUCAACCCUUGGGAUUCAAAGGCAGUGGGUAUCUGCAGGGAUGGGGUCUUUAAGGCUCCACUGUGGUAGGACCAGGGGAGGCAAAGAGAGGGAAUAAACCCAGGGUGUGUGGGUUUUGGUGGACACGUUGAGACAGCCUCUGCCUAGACUUGUAACAACAAACAAGCAUAUCAAUUUCUAUUUUUCACAAGACCUUUAUGAGCUCCAAGUAACCUUCGUGUGUUAGGCAUGGAGCUCCUAGGCACAGGGCUGGGGUCCACCGCCGGCCCUUAUGGGGCUCUCAGUUACGGAAACUCUUAUGACGCAUGGGUGGACAUGGUCUCAGGAAAAAUCCAAGAGAGAGGAAGUGUUUGCAUUCUGCCAGGGUGGUUCAGGAAAUCAUCCUUCCAUGGCUAACCAUACCAAAUGGAUUAAUUUGCUUUAAAAAUUUACAUAAGCAGAAAAUCUAUCACAAAACAGUCUGUAGGAGGGUAGGCUUUUUGUAAUUAGCAUCCAGAGAACAUACGAAUGUUUCUUCUGUCAACAUUCCCCUGCUCUGCACUUCCUGCUCUGCUUGCUGGCCUCAGCCCCACACUGAGCCUGUUGAAGCAUGAAGCUGGGGAGGUCAAGCAUUUCAUAUGGACUAAAUCACAGAUGUCACUUUCCUUCUUCCAGCCCACAAGCCACUGAACCAUGUAGGGCGAAGGUUAGAAUUAUAGUUCUUGGCGAUUACUCUGUGUUCCCGGGAGCAGUCUUCUCUCCCCAUGUCCCCCUGGCCUCCACAUGUCACCCCCCCCCCACCCCAACACUGCCCCAUCUUAUAACAAUUCUUGCAAAAAUAAACAAACGGGAAAGAUGGUGUAAUUAAUAGUUUACAUAUGAACUCUGGUAUGUUGCAAAAGCCGAGUUCUUGUGUCCAACAACCUAAGGUGAAUCUGGUUGUGUGUAUUUGAUGUAGUAGCAGCUGGAAAUGCGGUUUCAGAUCCCAGAGGGCCUCAAGGCAAUGUUGUAGAUUAGGGUAGCACAUAUUUCCAGCCAUUUUACUGGCCUCCCACUCUUUCUCCUACAAACUUCUUCGUCAUUGCUCCGAGGCAUAAAGUGGCUAAGAGUAACCUUCUUUACUAUCUCUCCAAGGCCCCUAGAAAGAGUUGUUGAGGCUUGACAAGGGUGAGUCUGGCAGCAGAAUAUAUCAUGCAGUAGAGUCAAGGUCGGGGGCAGAAAGACCACCGAGGAUUCCCCGUGUCGUGAAGCAUGGGCUAGAUUGCGAUAACACUGGGCCUAGAGAGAGAGAGAGAAUGAAAGGCAGAAUGGAAGGGAUGGUCAUUAUUGACUGGACUUAGGGAUUCAAGUAUGAGAAAGAAUCAACUGUGAGUCCAAGGGCUUGAGUCUGAGACAUGGGAGAAUGGAGAUCCCAUUGACGGAAGUGAGGAGGAAUAAAAAGGGGUCAGUCCUGGAGCAAUGAAUACAUAAGGGAAACAUUUGCAUGGCACCAGUAUUGCUAAACAUGGGUUUUGUGGUACCAGCCCAUGGAUCAAUGUCACAGUUACCUCCAUGAAAACAAAUACUAACGAAGCAUGGCCCCACCCAAUGCGAUUGUGCCGAGGGCUGAAGGGAACAAAAUAAGAAGUGUUUGUGACGCCCCCACCCUGACCCCAGCCCAGAGUCUUAUUGUCCACGACAGGUUACUAUUGUUGUACAUUAAUGGCCUAUUGGGACGGAGCAAGAUUCUUGGCAGCCACCCAAGUAAGACUCUCUAGUAGCUGAGUGAGACCACCUGGAAGGUUUCAAUCCCAAAAAGGAUUUUCCCAAGUCAUUCACUUGGGAAUUAAGCCAAUUGAGCAUCUUGUAGGCCAGACACCAGGUUUAGCCCUCCAGGGACAGAGUAAAUGGGAGAGGCCCAGUCCCUCCACUAUGACCACACUCAGGGGUCCUUUAAGACUAUGCUCACGAUAGAUUGUGUAUUGGUCUUCUCGAAUAGCCAUAACAAAGUACCACAGACUGGGUGGCUUACAAACAGAAAUUUAUUUCUUCACAGUUGUGAAGGCUGGAAGUCCAAGGUCAAAGUGCCAGCAGGGUUAGUUUCUCCUGAGACUUCUCUCCUUGGCUUGCAAAGGCCGUCUUCUCCCUAUGUCCUCACAAGAUCUUCCCUCUGUGUGUGUCUGUGUCCUAAUCUCCUCCUCUUAUAAGGCCACCGAUCCUAUUGGAGUAAGGCCCACCCAUGUGACCUCAUUUUACCUGAAAUACUCCUUUAAAGCCCCCAUCUCCAAAUAUAGUCACAUUCUGGGGGCUGGGACUUCAAUAUAUGAUCUGUUCCCUAUCUGCCUGCCCUGCCAAGGACUAUUCUGUGAAAUUCUGUGUAAGAACAACACUAGACCACCCCCAAUCCCAGGGAAGGCCAACUCAUGAGCAUGGGGACACUGACAUGUCUGAACUAGCUAUAAAGAUCUUCUGACCAAAAAGAAAACCUAUGUGCAGCGUGGACAGGCCUAUCGCUCUGCAUAGGUAUCUCUGCCUCUUGUCUCUUGAAAUUUCUGGUUGCCAUGGGGCUUUUGUUCACACAGAAGGAGCGAUUGGUGAGAGGUGGUCAUGUGACUGACCUCAAGUAGGCCAGGACACCUAAACUUCUGGACCUGUCUCCAGCUCAGGAAACAGGUGGAGGAAUUCUUCCCACUUCCUUGAAGGGUCUUCAGGUUUUUGUUUUGUGUUUUUUGUUUGUUUUUUUUUUUUUUUACCUGCUUCCAGGUCCCUGAAGCGUUCCCCUUUCCCCAUCCAUCAUUGACAAACCACUUGCCCAUUUUGUCCUCUGCAUCCAUGAUUCCCUGCUAUUCAAUAUAACAUGAGAAAAAAAAUCUCCAGUUUAACUCAAAGACCCAACUUGUAUAGGCUAUUUCCAGUUCUAUUUAGCAUGACAGCAAAAUUCUGCUCUAAGGAUUCUUCCGGACUUUGUUCAGAGAGUCUUCUUGUCAACUGUCUUCCCUGUGUUGCAGCUACCCAAACUGAAACUCGGUGACUCCUUAGGGCUCAUGGAAUUUCCCCAAACACAACUCAGCUCUCCUCCGAUCAUAUUUCCUGUGCUCAUGUCCUUUUUACCAAACUCCCUAUAAAGCUUUCUGACUUUUCUUUAAGCUCACAGGUCUUUGUAAAAUUUCUAAAUAUCUUUGCAAUUCUUUCCUACAACUACUGGGAGUUCCCAGCCCAUCUGGGCAGCAUGGAAUUCAAAUUCAUGGCUCCAUGACUCAACAAAUAGCAGCACAAGAUCAUUUGAUCGAAAUUAGACAAGAUUACUCUAGCCCUAAACAGAAUACAUCUGGUUGUGAAUACAUCUAUGAUUGGGGACGCAUGGGCUCACACAUGCUUGUGGGAGAAUGCGUAUACAUGCGAAUCAUUUUCCUCUAGAAAGAUGCGUCCCAUGAGCUUACUAGACCUUUUUAUUUGUUUUCAAGUUCCAAUACCCAUGCCUGAAUUGCUGACAAAAACAGAUCUUUUCCAGGAGGGCUGGCAACAGUGUUUAAAGCCCAUAAAAAUCAGACAAUAGGUUGUUAACAUUGAAGCCAAGUGGUAAAAAGUUGACAGAGUCCAGGGUUAGGCUAAGAAGUCAUUUCAAGCCCUUGUUGCAAAGCCAGCAUGGGAUGCUGCAGAAGACUGGCUUGGUGUUAAUGCUCUUUUUAUGAAACUACUUUAUAACUUGAUUAUUUAAAAGGAGGGAAAAAAGUUAUUUCCUUGUACAGUUGAGAGUACCUUAAUGCGAGCACUUUAGUCUAACUUAAGUCCAUUUCCUUUGUGUACAUUUUGUAAUUAGGAAAACUCUUGGCACGCACGUUGGCUUCCCUGGAAGCAGACUCUGAGAUGGGGAUUUGGCUGCAGGGGUUUGACUGGGGAGCAUUCUCAGGAUCAAUGGGAGGAGAAGUCACCACAGAGUCUCAGCUGAUCCCGAGGGUGGGAGGGGCUGUAAAGCAGGAAUGGCCCUUCAGAGAUGUCCUGAGUUCAGGAGACGGACCAGGCAUUUCCACCCUGCAUUGGCUGUCAAUUGGAUGAGGUCAGUACCUAUUCAGAACUGAGUGUUUGGGCUCAACACCUAACUCUUUCUUCCUUCCUUCCUUCCUUCCUUCCAACCUAUUUAUUCUGGGCUCUUUUUUUUUUUUUUUUCAUUGAAUAAGAGGGUUAAAGAGAGGGAGUUGUUAAAGGUGAUUCCUAGAUUUUUUUUCUUUGGGAAGGUGAGCAUGUGCCAAGGAGGAAGACAAGGGACUCAAACCUGGGCAUGUUGACAUUGAGGGCCUGUGGGAUAUCCGGGUAGAGAUGGAUUGCAGGUGAACAACUGAGAAGUUCUGGGCUAGAGAUACAGACUGGGGAGUCAUCAGCCAUAUGAUUGGGUAAGACACUGUAGAAGCGUGAGACGAAAGGACGGUCAAGAAUACUCAAAGAACAUUUUCCUCAUUAAAUCCAACUUGACCUCCCCCGUGCCUGAGGUGGUCUCCCCCUUCCCAUCACUUCCUCCAGGGCUUUCAUUCCUGUCCCCUGAUUUGACCCUUGCCAUGGGCGUCCUACUUCUAUUAUGGAUUUCUUUUCUCCUCAAGACAGGUGAGCUCUGUGGUUGUAUGAGUCCUGAUGCUUGGUGGGCCAACGUUGAUGCUCCCGUAACCUUCUUCCUCUCUCGUACCUCAGUUUCCUCAGCUUUCUCCAAG
rnacentral:lncRNA from 1 species